rnacentral:rRNA from 1 species
UACGUAGGGGCCUAGCGUUGUCCGGAUUUAUUGGGCGUAAAGAGCUCGUAGGCGGUUCGGUAAGUCAGGUGUGAAAUCUCCACGCUCAACGUGGAGGCGCCACCUGAAACUGCCGUGACUCGAGUCCGGUAGGGGAGUGUGGAAUUCCUGGUGUAGUCGGUGAAAUGCGCAGAUAUCAGGAGGAACACCAGUGGCGAAGGCGGC